rnacentral:rRNA from 1 species
UACAGAGGAUGCAAACGUUAUCCGGAAUGAUUGGGCGUAAAGUGUCUGUAGGUGGCUUUUUAAGUCCGCCGUCAAAUCCCAGGGCUCAACUCUGGGCAGGCGGUGGAAACUACCAAGCUAGAGUACGGUAGGGGCAGAGGCAAUUUCCGGUGGAGCGGUGAAAUGCGUAGAGAUCGGAAAGAACACCAACGGCGAAAGCACUCUGCUGGGCCGACACUGACACUAAGAGACGAAAGCUAGGGGAGCGAAUGGG